GACGAACGCUGGCGGCGUGCUUAACACAUGCAAGUCGAACGUGAUUUUUGUGGAAAUUCUUUCGGGAAUGGAAAUGAAAUGAAAGUGGCGAACGGGUGAGUAACACGUGAGCAACCUACCUUACACAGGGGGAUAGCCGUUGGAAACGACGAUUAAUACCGCAUGAGACCACAGAAUCGCAUGAUAUAGGGGUCAAAGAUUUAUCGGUGUAAGAAGGGCUCGCGUCUGAUUAGCUAGUUGGAAGGGUAAAGGCCUACCAAGGCGACGAUCAGUAGCCGGUCUGAGAGGAUGAACGGCCACAUUGGAACUGAGACACGGUCCAAACUCCUACGGGAGGCAGCAGUGGGGAAUAUUGCACAAUGGGGGGAACCCUGAUGCAGCGACGCCGCGUGAGCGAAGAAGGUUUUCGAAUCGUAAAGCUCUGUCCUAUGAGAAGAUAAUGACGGUAUCAUAGGAGGAAGCCCCGG
rnacentral:rRNA from 1 species